CUUGACAAAUGUAUUUUUCCUGAAAUUUUGUGGAGACUUAGUUAAAAAUCGGUAGUCUAGUUUGAAUAAGAUUGUUGACUUUAAACGGAACCUCCAAUCUAAAUCUUUCUUCUUUCGUUAGUGCUUCAAUUCCAAAACAAGUUAUAAUAGAAAAUUGCCGCACCUGCAUUGAGGAAAAAAUAAACAAUUGGAAAGGAAAAAUGGACAUGCACCCUGACAUUGACAAACCUAAGGCUAAAAGGAGACGAGGAAGGUCUAAGGGUACAGCCAAUGAAACAAAAAAGGACAUUGACGAACCUAAGGCUAAAAGGAGUCAUGGAAGGUCUAAGGGUACGGCUAAUGAAACAAAGGAGG